rnacentral:rRNA from 1 species
GGCGGCAGGCCUAACUCAUGCAAGUCGAGCGGAUGACGGGAGCUUGCUCCUUGAUUCAGCGGCGGACGGGUGAGUAAUGCCUAGGAAUCUGCCUGGUAGUGGGGGACAACGUUUCGAAAGGAACGCUAAUACCGCAUACGUCCUACGGGAGAAAGCAGGGGACCUUCGGGCCUUGCGCUAUCAGAUGAGCCUAGGUCGGAUUAGCUAGUUGGUGGGGUAAUGGCUCACCAAGGCGACGAUCCGUAACUGGUCUGAGAGGAUGGUCAGUCACACUGGAACUGAGACACGGACCAUACUCCUACGGGAGGCAGCAAUGGGGAAUAUUGGACAAUGUGCGAAAGCCUGAUCCAGCCAUGCCGCGUGUGUGAAGAAGGUCUUCGGAUUGUAAAGCACUUUAAGUUGGGAGGAAGGGCAGUAAGUUAAUACCUUGCUGUUUUGACGUUACCGACAGAAUAACCACCGGCUAACUCUGUGCCUUCAGCCGCCUUAAUACACAGGGUGCAUGCGUUAAUCGGAAUUACUGAGCGAAAAGCUCACGUAGGUGGUUCCUUAAUUUGGAUGUGUAAAGCCCCGGGCUCAAACUGUGAACUGCCUCCAAAACUGGCUACCUAUAGUACGGUAAAGGGUGGUGGCAAUUCCUGUGUCCCUUUG